AACUAUGCUGCGCACUACCAUGAAUGAAGCACCGAUUUAUGCUGCCCUGUGACGCUGCAAUCGCUGAACGGCGGAUUUCCAAAAGCUGUUGUCGGAAAAGCUCCUCGUUCAUCGCAGAAUCGUCAUGCUGGCUGCUCAUCUGACUACUACCAUUCAUGCCUUCAAAUCGGCAGCUGAGAAGACACCUAGCGGCUUCCCAUUCAUGUCAGAGACUGCAUACGAGCUGGUCCCUUUCUUCGCUGUAAUGAUGCACGGCGUGUACGGUGGACCCAACUUCGCGUUGAAGUUGUCCCCCGCCGAUGACUGCUUGAAUGAACGUUUGAAGACCCGCUGACCGAUGUCGAACGUAGGUACAACAGGUAAAGCCCAUUCAGAAGAAGAAGGCUCAAUGAUGUCAUCUCUCAGCAACAAGUCCACGGCACGAUGUAUUCUACGCUGGAUCUCCGGACUCCAGGGGUACGGAUUUUUCCUGACUGGAUCCGCUCCUUGGAACUCCUCCUUCAGCUCGAUUUUGUGCUCAAUGAGCCCCGUUUGGCCGAGAUUUCCAGGACUCGCUAAUCGGGUCGUCACCCUCGUCGAGCGUCUCGAUACUCUGGUGAACUGACGGACGGAUUCCAAACUACUGUCAAAAAUCGUAUCCUAAGAUACAACGACGUUUUAGAUCUGGAGCAAUCAAAACAGACUUCGUAUCUUCAUUGAACGUAAUUGAUGAUUGUACAACACCUUCUCCAGCUGACUGCGUGAGCCAUCCAGAGGCAUCUUGCGGAUGUGCAACUCAUGACUGAACUCAUCAAUCGUCAGGUGCGAUGCAUUCAUGCCAUAAUACUGCGACAGCAUAUGUUUCACC